ensembl:lncRNA
CCAGAAUUAGAGGUGAAGAACUACCAAGUGUCAUAUCUGAAUUGUGUAAUGGUUUAGGAUGUUAUUGACAUCAAAGUAUCCAAACCACAACUCACAUAGAUCUAGUCAAUUUUAGCUGAAGAAAUUUCUUCGUAUAGAGAGCAAUUCUAAACCAGAAAAGAUGUGCAAUAAACCCUAACAUAGAGCUGUACCACUAUUUCAUACAGGAGUUGAUGGAAAUUUUCCACAAUUCACCACUUCUGUUAUUUGCAGAAUGACAAAAAUAUUUGCCUGAAUCCAAGCCAAAGAUAUGACUCAAUAAAGGUCCUUCCAGAAUCAAAAGGCUGGGGACUUCUAGGAAAAAAAUAAUGAUUCAGAUGAUGGUGCUUAUUAUUCAUCAGUCAUUAGUCAAAAUUCUCCCAUUUAAAAUACUUCAGCCUCCUAAAACUUCCCUCCUCCCCCCAAGGACUAUAACAAUCUGGUUAUGAUUCAAUUUGAGUUUAAAUGGUAAAAAUAAUAAAAAGAAACCAGUGCAAACUAUAGCUGGAAUAAGCUCUUAAUGCACAAUGCAGAAAUGCACUGACAGAACUAUUUGCAACCCCAUGAGAAGAUGAAUACAUUGCCAGUGAUUUGAAAGAAUCUGUGAAUUCAUGAGGACAAAGAAAACCAAAAAACAAAAAACCUAAAGAUGUUGGAAAAUGUAUUUAUAAUUAAUAAUUCAGAUUUUUUUUUUCAUUCAGGAAGUCUAUUCACAUUCAUUGUAGUAUUUAUAUUUUAGACUCAGAUGUCUAUCCUCCACAUCUGCCCUACUGUACAUCUCUGUGCAAGAAAGACUAUGAGGUCCAGGACAUAGACCUGAACAUCCAAUUAUGGUCAUCUCUAAUCCUGGGAAUUUCAGUCCCAGGAAGCCUUUGGCCUUGCCUAGUUAGCAGCCUUCCAGAAGUCUGUAGGUAUUAUUCAGAAGGAGUCUGUUCCAUGGACUAUUCCCCAUGGGACAUUUAGAUUCAGCAACUCUAUUUCUGGAGAAUUGGUUGAGGUCUGAGCUGAGGAUUGAUGGGUUGAAAGAAUCUCUAUUUUAUGUUUCUGGUCCCACUUUUUUUUGCAUUUAACUUUGAAGAGAUCAUAAAAAGAAUAUGAAAUACAUAUUGCCGGUCAUCAGCAAAUCAAUGCCAGUCAUCAAUGCCAGUCAUCAGCAAAUAAAAUCCAGUCAGCACAAACACCAAUCUAAGAUUUGUAAUUUCUACUUUUAGAAUAACUGAAAUUGAAUUCACAGUCUGGUCUACACUUCAGACAUUCAGACAUUGCUAGACCACAGAUAAAUACAAUAAUAAUGGAGCACUGGUUGCACUACUUGUCUGAAAUCUAUUUUCCUUUGAGUUUAGUUACUUCUAACAUAUCCAAAGUUUUAUAUCGAAGGUAUUUUAAAAAUGAUUUCUUAUUCCUUAAGCUGUGUUUCCAUAAUUCACAAUGUUGGUCACUCCAAAAGUAAUGCCUCCUAUUUAUUUCUGAAGAAACUGUUGUCUAAUACAACAGACACAAUAACACUGUUUGAGAGAGCAAAUUUUCACCUACAAAACCUAUUUUUCAACACAGUCACCACCAUAAGCUAUGUGUUUUCACUAGCAAUGAACACGAACCUGCAUGCCAUGCUCAUAAAAGUCUGCACAAGCAGAGGCGAUCCACUGUUUCAGAACUGCUGUAACAGUGUCAUUGCUAGGAAAACGUUGCCCACACAGUCCAUCUUUCAUCAGCUUUAACAGAGGGAAGUCAGAAGGCACCAAAUCCAGAAUAGAUGGUGGGUGUGGUAGGACAGUCCAGCCAAUUUGCAAUGCGAUCCACAGUCUUCAAACUGGUAUGAGGCCUGGCAUUAACAUGUUGCAAGAGAAAGAUUGUCUUCUUCUCUGGUCUAAUUCUGGAAGUUCAAGCCUUUAGCUUAGAACCAUGAUGUAGUGGUCAGAUUUGAUGGUUUGUCUGGGUUCCAGGAAAUCCAGAAGCAUCACACCUUUCCUAUCCCAAAAGACAGUGCACAUCACUUUACCUACUGAGGGCUGCGUCCUGAACUUUUUCUUUGAUGGGAAUUCACAUGUCACUACUCCAUUGACUGCAAUUUUGACUCCAGCUCACAGUAGUGACAUAACAUGUCAUCACAGGUAAUGAUGACAUCUUGGAAACAGGCCUCUUCUGCCUCAUAUUGUUUCAAUUGAUUCUGAAAAACUUGCAGAAAGUGUCCAUUCUGUUCCUGUGUGAGUAUUUGAGGAAUCCAUCUGGUGCAAACUGCUGUAUUCCAAUAUUGCCACUGUUAUUUCCAAUGCAUCAAAACCAAUAUUCAGUUCCGUAUACAGUUCCCAGUGGUUGUAAUCCACUGAUUAUGUGCAAGUGAGCUGAUGGAGAUGCUCUUCAUUUCAUGGUGUGACAGCAGUAUAUAGCUGUACAGAACAUAGCUUGUCUUUCACAUUGUUGUCUCCACUGCUGAAACACACCACUCACCACCUCAUUGUGCUCACAUCUGCAAUUUGGUCUUCAUCAAUAUUGAGUAAGCAUCUAUGAAUCUCAGUGAGUGCAAUGGUUUCCACAAGGAGGGAUUCAAUCACAUAUCUUUCCUUCAUAUGCAUUUCCAUGUCAGGCACCAUUUUGUCAGACUGCCCCUUUGCUGCCAUCUGUCAUACAGCAACAAAAUGUAAUGGAAUAUUGGUGGGAAGGUUCAACCUAUUUUGCCAUGCCACCAACAUCUGCCUCUGACGUGGGAAAACAUAAUAAAAUAGGAGGCAUUACUUUCAAAGCAGCCCUCACGUAUGAUUACUUACAGCAACUUAUGAGAAACGACUGCAGGGAACUCUGUCUGUGAUAAGAAUGAUGUGCAAUUCUGCAAAUGUCUCAGCUCUGUAUCAUUCAGCCUGUUCCUGAUCUUAAUCAUGUUGAAAAAGUUCAUUUCAUGGGAAUAAAAGAAUGUAAGAGGAUCCAGUAUGUCAGGAUAUAACAUGAGAAACUGGAUUUACUGAUGUAAACUGGAGCAUAGGCUUUUCCACUUGCAAAAUGGCUAGUUCACAUCUAUCCUUCCCCUCUUCUCUUGGGAACAUUUUUCUUUCAAAUUCAGCUUUCUUUUUUCUCUCCCACGAACACUUUCACAUUUGG